GUCAAUCCGUGUCGGAUAUUGGGCGUAAGCGGCGUCGCAGGCGGUUUCUUAAGUCUGAUGUGAAAGCCCCCGGCUCAACCGGGGAGGGUCAUUGGAAACUGGGGAACUUGAGUGCAGAAGAGGAGAGUGGAAUUCCACGUGUAGCGGUGAAAUGCGUAGAGAUGUGGAGGAACACCAGUGGCGAAGGCGACUCUCUGGUCUGUAACUGACGCUGAGGAGCGAAAGCGUGGGGAGCGAACAGGAUUAGAUACCCCGUAGUCCAAG
rnacentral:rRNA from 1 species